CGAUGACGGACAUAUCAAACCCGUACGGGAGAGGAGCGGAGUCAACCCAUCAGACGGUGCAGCUUUCAUCGGCCGACAGAGAAGCCAGGGUGCUGAGGUACAGGGAGAAGAGAAAGAACAGAAAGUUCGAGAAGACGAUCCGCUACGCCUCCAGGAAAGCUUACGCAGAGAUGCGGCCUAGGAUCAAAGGAAGGUUCGCCAAGCGCAGUGACAUCGAAGUCGAAGCCGACCGCCGUAACAUGUAUGGAUUCGGAGUCGUACCCUCGUUUUAAACAAUCAGUUUAACCCCCCUCCGCCCACCUCUCCCCUUCUGCUGUAGUAAUAUUAUUUUUAUUGUUAAAUUUUGGGUUUUUAAUUAUCAAGUCUUUCACUUUGUUCAUCUUUCUCUCCCUCUCUCUCUCUCUGUCUUUCGCUCCUUCUGUCCUGAGGUUUUAUCAGGGAAAGGAUUUUG
rnacentral:lncRNA from 1 species